GAGAAGUGCUUUUUGGUACAACUAAAACUUCUGAAAUAUAAAUGGUUUCCUACUGUAAACAGGUUAACAGCAGAAUUACAAGAAAACUAUGGCAUCCUGCACAUUUUUGGAGUAAAAAGGGAUCCAGUGCAGGUUGAGAGGAAUGGUCUACCAAGUUAACAUAGAUACAUCCCUAGAUGCUCAAUGUGGCUGAGCACACCAGCAACAUUCUUAAACAUUAUUCUCAAACCACUUCUAUAUCAAACUUGCAUGUCGACAAUGACAUUAUCCUGCCAAAACAUCACGUUUCAAC